rnacentral:rRNA from 1 species
UACGUAGGGUGCAAGCGUUAAUCGGAAUUACUGGGCGUAAAGCGUGCGCAGGCGGUGAUGUAAGACAGAUGUGAAAUCCCCGGGCUCAACCUGGGAACUGCAUUUGUGACUGCAUCGCUGGAGUGCGGCAGAGGGGGAUGGAAUUCCGCGUGUAGCAGUGAAAUGCGUAGAUAUGCGGAGGAACACCGAUGGCGAAGGCAAUCCCCUGGGCCUGCACUGACGCUCAUGCACGAAAGCGUGGGAGCA